rnacentral:rRNA from 1 species
GCAUAACGCGAAGAACCUUACCAAGGCUUGACAUGCAUCUCUAAGCGCGUGAAAGCGCGUGACUCUUCGGAGGAUUUGCACAGGUGCUGCAUGGCCGUCGUCAGCUCGUGUCGUGAGAUGUUGGGUUAAGUCCCGCAACGAGCGCAACCCCUGUGAUUAGUUGCCAGCACGUGAUGGUGGGGACUCUAAUCAGACUGCCCAGAUCAACUGGGAGGAAGGUGGGGACGACGUCAGGUCAGUAUGGCCCUUACGCCUUGGGCUGCACACGUACUACAAUGCCCAGCACAAUGAGAACCGAGACCGCGAGGUGGAGGAAAUCUACAAAACUGGGCCCAGUUCGGAUUGGAGGCUGCAACUCGCCUCCAUGAAGCCGGAAUCGCUAGUAAUGCUGCAUCAGCUACGGCAGCGUGAAUACGUUCCGGUCUUGUACACACCG